CCUACGGGUGGCAGCAGUCGAGAAUCAUUCACAAUGGGGGAAACCCUGAUGGUGCGACGCCGCGUGGGGGAAUGAAGGUCUUCGGAUUGUAAACCCCUGUCAUGUGGGAGCAAAUUAAAAAGAUAGUACCACAAGAGGAAGAGACGGCUAACUCUGUGCCAGAAGCCGCGGUAAUACAGAGGUCUCAAGCGUUGUUCGGAAUCACUGGGCGUAAAGCGUGCGUAGGCUGUUUCGUAAGUCGUGUGUGAAAGGCGCGGGCUCAACCCGCGGACGGCACAUGAUACUGCGAGACUAGAGUGAUGGAGGGGGAACCGGAAUGCUCGGUGUAGCAGUGAAAUGCGUAGAUAUCGAGAGGAACACUCGUGGCGAAGGCGGGUUCCUGGACAUUAACUGACGCUGAGGCACGAAGGCGAGGGGAGCGAAAGGGAUUAGAUACCCUAGUAGUC
rnacentral:rRNA from 1 species